CCAGAGGGAGAGCUGGAAUAGGUUUGAUUACUACUAAAGGCAUCCAAGUGAGGGCUCCCAGGGACUGGAACCAGAGUUCAGUUGAUGAAGUGUUUGCCUCUCAUGGACGAGAUCCCAGCUUCAAACCCAAGCAAUAUUAUUUAAAUGAAAGGAAAAAUAAAAGAUUAGACUCUUCUGUUACUGAACAUAACAACACGUUUGUCAAUUACUGAAAGUAGACUUAAGUUCACCUUGUUUAAUAAGCAUUCAUAUUUCUAGGCUUAUUGGACACAAAUACUAAUGUCAUGGUCAUAAGACAUGGUAUGUCUUUACACAUGGCCUCAAGAGGCCACCCCAGUUUGGGGAAAAUAAAAUAAAACAAACAAGUGUCCAUUCAUUCAUGGCCUUAAUGGGUCACCCUGGUUUGGGGAAAAGAAAACAAAAACAAACAAGGAUCCCAAACCUCCCUGUGGCUACCACCUCUUCCCCUUUCAAACCAUACAAACCAUUGCUUAUGUUCAACCAUGUGUGGAAACUGUUACAAGAUUUGCAAGGUUUAAGGCAAAAAGAAAGAAAGAAAGAAACAAACAAAAACUUUCCAGAAAGCAUAUAAACUGGAAAGAAAUACUCUUAAAAAAGAAAGAAGGGUUACAACAUUUUUCCUUACUUUUCAACUUCUGCUGGAUUCCUAACUUUCCUAGCCUCAUAUUUCAAUGUGAAUUUCAUUCCCUAUAUGAUUUACUAGAGUUGCAAAAAACUAGUUUAGACAAAAGAAGAAAGAAUGUCUCUUCUAAAUCCACACUGCUUGGCUGACUCUCUUAACUGUUUUUACCCAGUUUUCUUACACAGCUCCUCCCCUUCCUUAAUGUUGAAGCACUAAUAGAAAGGGAAAAGUAGAAAGACUCCAAAUGUGCAAGUUUUCUUUUUUUUCAAAAAAAAGUUUUGUUUUACAUUAUUUUCUUUCAGAAUGUGACAGGCUUCCAACUGAUUCUUGUCUGAGUUUAAGGUAUACUCUGACCCGAUAAAAAAUGUUGAUAUUACUGCAAUGUAAGUUUUUAAGUAUUCUAUGUAAGUUGAUGUGUUUUUCUGAUUAGUCUGUUUUUAUCUAACUAUACAGAUUUUUACAUUCUGCCUUUACACAAAGGCCAAUUUCCCCAGAGUUAACUCUUAAAUACAUUCAAAGAUUUCUUUUAAUAAAUCCUAGGAAGAUAUAAACAUGGUUGUGUUAGGGAUAAGUCUUAAUAACUAUAAAGGACAAAAACGCUAGCUAUAUGAAACCUUAGAUUUCAGUGUCCACCCUGGUUGUUGGAUCUUGUACCUGACAUUUCCAAUUUCACAGGCCUGUCUUAUGUCUAUAUAUUAUUAUUAAAUUGACAUUUAGACAAACGAAGGCUCAUAAAUUAAAAUUUAGAAAAAUAAAUGGACCCAGAUAACUUAAUUCAAAUCAAAUAAUUAAAUAAAUAUAUAGAUGUUUUUAAGGUGAUGGCUCAUGAGUGUUUAUAGGUGGCCAAAUAAUAAAGUCUUAAUUUCUAAAAAAUAU
rnacentral:lncRNA from 1 species